UGAACAAAGAAGGUAUGUAUUUAUUAUUUUAUUAAGAUAUAUUUCUCUAUUUAUUACAAAUUUAUUAUCUCCUAAUUUCAGAUUGCUUCACGUGUUGCAGUUGCGUGCAGGCUGGGUAGCUUUUUGAUUUCUUCGAAAUUUAUUUAAAUUUAUGUAGGUUGGAAAUUAUUACAAAUUUCCAUCCUCACAAAGUUACGCCAUAAGGAUCUAGUGUUAUAGUAUGUUUACACUAAAUAGUGUGAAAUUUGAUCAGAAAGUGUAAUAGAUCUGAACCUUUUUAAUGAAAGUGUAUAACAUAAUUUACAAUUUUUAUUAACUGAAAUUGAAAAUAUGGAUGUGGAAUAUAUGUAUAUAUGGUUUCAACAAUCAUCGUCGCAAUCAACACAACACGUCGUAUAUUGUCUUUCUCAGGAAGAAAUUUUUUGAAUAUGUAAAUUCACAUUUUAGUGUUGUAAAAUGAUCACCAAAAUCAUGCGAUUUUUCACCACUAACCAUUUUUGUAGGAUUACCUAGGGUACUGUGCUGACGUGGGAAUGAUUCCAAAUAAGAUUCUCAAAUGGGUUAAGAUUCUCAUACCUUAACUCCAGUUAAUAUAACCCAGCUAUUAAAAGUUAUGUUCCCAUAAAUCAUCAAAAAUUAGCCCAAAAAGAUCUAGUACUAUAUACUAGAUAUUGCAUCUUGCACCUAAUGGCAAACAAUAAACAAAAAUUUGAUUGAAAUUUUA